rnacentral:rRNA from 1 species
CGCCUCUUGAUCCCCCCCAUAAGAGGUCCAACCUGCCCAGUGAUUUUUUCAACGGCCGCGGUACCCUGACCGUGCUAAGGUAGCGCAAUCACUUGCCCUUUAAUUGAGGGCUAGUAUGAAUGGUCAAACGAAAGUGACACUGUCUCAUCAAGACCUAUAAAAACUUAACCUACAUGUGAAGAGACAUGUAUCCUACAGAAAGACGAGAAGACCCUGUCAAGCUUUACACCCACCAUGCCCUCCAUCAUUAGCAUUAUAAACGGUGUUUUGUUGGGGCAACAUAGGAGCCUAAUCCUCCUUAUAACUUCACCCCCUAUAUCAAAAAAUCCGGUAAAACCGACCACAGACAAAGCUACUGCAGGGAUAACAGGCCAAUCUGCUUCGAGAGCCCACAUUGACAAGCAGGCUUGGCACCUUGAUGUUGGCUUAAGGACCCAUAUUGGGGCAGCACCCAAUACCAGGAGGUUUGUUCAACCUAUAAUCCCUU